UACGGAGGGUGCAAGCGUUGCUCGGAAUUAUUGGGCGUAAAGGGUAGGUAGGUGGUCUUAUUUGUCUGGGGUGAAAGCCUUGAGCUUAACUCAAGAAGUGCCCCAGAAACGGUGAGACUAGAGUCCUGGAGAGGGUCGUGGAAUUCCCGGUGUAGCGGUGAAAUGCGUAGAGAUCGGGAGGAACACCAGAGGCGAAGGCGACUACCUGGCCUGUUCUUGACGCUGAGGCGCGAAAGCUAGGGGAGCAAACAGG
rnacentral:rRNA from 1 species